AGCCGCUCGAUGCUGGUGAGCUGAUCAGCGCUUGGUGUAAUAUUCAGUUCCUCUCUGCACAGGCCUCCAUCUCCCAGUUCAAGUCAGUGGAAAUGAAAACAUACUUCCUGGGGAUGAUAAGGGGCCCACAGAGCCAUCUUUGUUGGUUUAAAUCCACCAAGACGAGCAGCUUGAAUCACAUGGGAUUCCCUUAUGAGUCCUCCAUAGAGAACUGUUUCACUGGCAU